AUUGAACGCUGGCGGCAUGCCUUACACAUGCAAGUCGAACGGUAACGGGCCUUCGGGUGCCGACGAGUGGCGGACGGGUGAGUAAUACAUCGGAACGUGCCCGAUCGUGGGGGAUAACGAGGCGAAAGCUUUGCUAAUACCGCAUACGAUCUACGGAUGAAAGCAGGGGACCGCAAGGCCUUGCGCGGACGGAGCGGCCGAUGGCAGAUUAGGUAGUUGGUGGGGUAAAAGCUUACCAAGCCGACGAUCUGUAGCUGGUCUGAGAGGAUGAUCAGCCACACUAGGACUGAGACACGGCCCAGACUCCUACGGGAGGCAGCAGUGGGGAAUUUUGGACAAUGGGCGCAAGCCUGAUCCAGCCAUGCCGCGUGCAGGAUGAAGGCCUUCGGGUUGUAAACUGCUUUUGUACGGAACGAAAAGCUUUCUUUUAAUACAGGAGGGUCAUGACGGUACCGGAAGAAUAAGCACCGGCUAACUACGUG
rnacentral:rRNA from 1 species